AAUAUUAAUAUCAGUUAUGAGUUAUUAACUUUUUUGAACCGCUAAAAGAAACAGGCGAAGAGAAGCUAAUAAGGUUUGGCUGGCCCCAACUCUUUCAGUUAUAUCCAGAUUUUAUCAGCUCAGCUAUGGCUGUUCUCUGCACGCUCUAUAUCGCUUUCAGUUUCCAUGUAGCCUAAUGUCAUUGUCUCUGCGUCUGUGAGCAACUAACUUAUCUGUGUGCCCAAGAAAGAUGCAGGUCUUCAUCAAGACUCCCACUGGAAUAACCAUCACUCUCGGGGUCGAGAGCAGCGACACCAUCGAUAACGUCAAAGCUAAGAUUCAGGUACUUAUAUUUCCCUUUUCUUGUAUUUAUUAUGGCCUUAUGGGUGUGCUCGUAUUCGAUGAAGAACUGUUGUUUAGAUAUUGUAUCUGGGCAUAACUUAAUAUAAUUUUUGUUGAAAGAAAGGAAUUCUAGCUUUUGGGAUUUCAUCAUUAAUUGUGCAGCUAUUACAAAUUUGCAAUGAUCAUAGUAUAAUUCGGGUGCUGUAGAGAAUUUAUGGUCAGCCUAACAAAAUUGAAGGCAUUAAACAGGCAAAUCGCAGUUCAUUGAUAGUUUCUUAUGAGAUGUUAUGGGCUUUGAGAAUUGAUUUAUCUUUGGGAAAGGAUGGGACUGUGUCUUGCUCUUUUUGUUUUUUGUUGCUUGACUAUGGUCUAAAAGAGAUACAAGGAAGGGAUCUCUCCUGAGCAGCAGAGAUUAAUUUUGGUCGUAAGCAAUGGAUACUCUUGCUGAUUAUAACAUCCACAAGGAGUUAACACUUCACCUGGUUUUGAGGCUUAGAGGAGGAACUAUGAUCACGGUGAAGACUCUCGCUGGAAAAGAGAUUGAGCUUGACAUUGAACUACUGAUACCAUCAAUUGGAUAAAGGAAAAAGUUGUGGAGAAAGAAGGUAUUCCUCCAGUGCAGCAAAGGAAACAAUUUUGAUUCUUAUGCUGUGCUGAGGCUUAUUUUUGCUGGGAAGCAGCUUGGAGAUGACAGACGGCUUAUGACUACAACAACGAGAGGCGCGCACGGUUCCGGUUCUGCGCUUCAUCUUGUAGUUGCCCUGAUGGGGCGGUAGUUUUUAGAUGGUGCUUGUAACUUUCAGAAAAUCUAGCAACCGGCUAGGUUCAUUUUCAGUAAACGUUGAGGACAUCGGACAGAAUAGGUUAGAUUCAUUUUCUGGACACAAGAUUGUUAGUUUACCAUUAAGUUACCUUGUCUCUGUUUUUCUGUGUUUAUGCUGGGCUCUGUAAACACUCUGUAAUCAGCUUCCCGCAUUUUUACCCCUCUGCUAUCUUUCAUUCUUUAAGUUAGAAUGGUGAAUGCUAUUGACAGAUAGAUGAUUCACAGUCAUUGCUGAAGUUCGUGUUCUUAUGGA